AUGAACAGAGGGCUGGUGUUUGCAGAACAAGAAAAUAUCCUACUGGUCCUGCUUAUGUCAUGGGGCCUUAGGUGGUCAUGGAAGAAACAGAUUACGUUACUCAAGCCAGCAGCAGCAGCACAUGCUCACCCCGCUAUCCAGCCAACAUUCCUCAACUCUGACCUGAGGACCACCUCUGGAGAUAAGAGUCCCUUCUUAUCAGUGAGUCCUCGUUUUUUUUUGCCAAGUCUGUUAGCAAAAACGAUAUUCAGAGCCAACAGUAUAGAUUUGGACAGCAGAGGCUUGUUCACCAGAA
rnacentral:lncRNA from 1 species